rnacentral:rRNA from 1 species
GGGUGCAAUCAUACUAGCGUUAAUGCAUCGGAUCCCAUCAGAACUACGCAGUUAAGCGCGCUUGGGCCAGAGUAGUACUAGGAUGGGUGACCUCCCGGGAAGUCUUAGUGUUGCACCCU